GACGAACGCUGGCGGCGUGCUUAACGCAUGCAAGUCGAACGGAAAGGCCCUGCUUUUGUGGGGUUCUCGAUUGGCGAACGGGUGAGUAACACGCGAGUAACCCGCCCUUGUCUUUGGGAUAACAUCAGGAAAAUGGGGCGAUAAUCGGAUAGGAGAUCCUGCAGCACGUGGUGGGAUGGAAAGUUACGGCGGUGGGGGCUGGACUCGCUGGUUAUCCGCUUGUUGGUGGGGUAGUGGCUUACCAAGGCUAUGACGGGUAGCCGGCCUGAGAGGUUAGACAGGCACAAUACGCCUGCGGGACGGACCAGUAUCCAACGGGACGCAGCAGUGGGAAGUAUUGCGCAGUGGGCGGACGCCUGAUGCAGCAGCGCCGCGUGCGUGAUGACGGCCUUCGGGUUGUAAACCGCUUUCGACUGUAACGAAGCGUGAGUGACGGUAAUGGGUAAGGAAGCACCGGCUAACUACGUG
rnacentral:rRNA from 1 species